rnacentral:rRNA from 1 species
GAUGAACGCUAGCUACAGGCUUAACACAUGCAAGUCGAGGGGCAGCAUGAAGUUUGCUUGCAAACUUUGAUGGCGACCGGCGCACGGGUGAGUAACGCGUAUCCAACCUUCCCUAUACUAGAGGAUAGCCCGGCGAAAGUCGGAUUAAUACUCUAUGUUCUUCGUAGAAGACAUCUGAAAUGAAGCAAAGGUUUACCGGUAUAGGAUGGGGAUGCGUCUGAUUAGGUUGUUGGCGGGGUAACGGCCCACCAAGCCCACGAUCAGUAGGGGUUCUGAGAGGAAGGUCCCCCACAUUGGAACUGAGACACGGUCCAAACUCC